UCCAGACUCCUACGGGAGGCAGCAGUGGGGAAUAUUGCACAAUGGGGGAAACCCUGAUGCAGCGACGCCGCGUGGGUGAAGGAGUAUUUCGGUAUGUAAAGCCCUAUCGGCAGGGAAGAAAUUGGACGGUACCUGACUAAGAAGCCCCGGCUAACUACGUGCCAGCAGCCGCGGUAAUACGUAGGGGGCAAGCGUUAUCCGGAUUCACUGGGUGUAAAGGGAGCGUAGACGGCCAGGCAAGCCUGGAGUGAAAGCCCGGGGCCCAACCCCGGGACUGCUCUGGGAACUGUCCGGCUGGAGUGCGGGAGGGGCAGGCGGAAUUCCUGGUGUAGCGGUGAAAUGCGUAGAUAUCAGGAGGAACACCGGCGGCGAAGGCGGCCUGCUGGACCGCGACUGACGUUGAGGCUCGAAAGCGUGGGGAGCGAACAGGAUUAGAUACCCCCGUA
rnacentral:rRNA from 1 species